AACGUACGCUGGCGGCACGCCUAACACAUGCAAGUCGAACGAAGUAGCAAUACUUAGUGGCAGACGGGUGAGUAACAUGUGGGUAUCUGCCCUUUGGCCUGGAAUAACACGAGGAAACUUGUGCUAAUACCGGAUAAGUCUUUACGGAGAAAGCUUUAUGCACCAUUGGAUGAGCCCGCACUUGAUUAGUUUGUUGGUGGGGUAAUGGCUUACCAAGACUGUGAUCAAUAGCUGAUUUGAGAGGAUGAUCAGCCACAUUGGGACUGAGACACGGCCCAAACUCCUACGGGAGGCAGCAGUGGGGAAUCUUGCACAAUGGAGGAAACUCUGAUGCAGCGAUGCCGCGUGAGUGAAGAAGGCCCUUGGGUUGUAAAGCUCUUUCGUCGGGGAAGAAAAUGACUGUACCCGAAUAAGAAGGUCCGGCUAACUUCGUGCCAGCAGCCGCGGUAAUACGAAGGGACCUAGCGUAGUUCGGAAUUACUGGGCUUAAAGAGUUCGUAGGUGGUUGAAAAAGUUAGUGGUGAAAUCCCAGAGCUUAACUCUGGAACUGCCAUUAAAACUUUUCAGCUAGAGUAUGAUAGAGGAAAGCAGAAUUUCUAGUGUAGAGGUGAAAUUCGUAGAUAUUAGAAAGAAUACCAAUUGCGAAGGCAGCUUUCUGGAUCAUUACUGACACUGAGGAACGAAAGCAUGGGUAGCGAAGAGGAUUAGAUACCCUCGUAGUCCAUGCCGUAAACGAUGUGUGUUAGACGUUGGAAAUUUAUUUUCAGUGUCGCAGCGAAAGCGAUAAACACACCGCCUGGGGAGUACGACCGCAAGGUUAAAACUCAAAUGAAUUGACGGGGACCCGCACAAGUAGUGGAGCAUGUGGUUUAAUUCGAAGAUACGCGCAGAACCUUACCAACACUUGACAUGUUCGUCGCGACUCUAAGAGAUUAGAGUUUUCGGUUCGGCCGGACGAAACACAGGUGCUGCAUGGCUGUCGUCAGCUCGUGUCGUGAGAUGUUGGGUUAAGUCCCGCAACGAGCGCAACCCUCACUUUUAGUUGCCAUCAUUAAGUUGGGCACUCUGAAAGAACUGCCAGUGAUAAGCUGGAGGAAGGUGGGGAUGACGUCAAGUCCUCAUGGCCCUUACGUGUUGGGCUACACACGUGCUACAAUGGUAUCUACAACAGGAAGCAAGACUGCGAAGUUAAGCAAAUCCCUAAAAGAUACCUCAGUUCGGAUUGCACUCUGCAACUCGAGUGCAUGAAGCUGGAAUUACUAGUAAUCGUGGAUCAGCGUGCCACGGUGAAUGCGUUCCCGGGUCU
rnacentral:rRNA from 1 species